CGAAACCCACUUCAGCGUCUAUCAGUCUGAACAGACUCUGGUGGCGGUUCUUGUCUCUGUAUUCUAGGGUUUAGGGUUUAUGAUUUUUCUUCUGAUUGAAGGGUUUUAGGACCUUGAUUGGUUUAGAUUGACGGUUUAUUCUUUUGUAUUUUCUUGUGAAAGAAUUGAAUUGGAAUUUCAUGCUUUAGGGGGAGAAAAAGUUCUGGGUUUGAAUUGAAAUGAUUUUUAUUUUUGUGAGAUUUGUUCAUGAACUUAUAUUUGUGAGUUGAGAACAGUGCGAUGUUGGGUGAUGCUGAAGUUCUGUCAGACUUACAUGGCGAUGCUUCAUCAGCAUUUCCAUUUAAUGGAUAUGGUGAAGAUUUCCGAAUGAGGAGGAAAAGAUUGACACCUCAUUGGAGGACAUUCAUACGACCUCUCAUGUGGCGUUGUAAAUGGGUAGAAUUACAAAUUAAGAAUUUUGAGUCCCAAGCAUUAAAGUAUGACGGAGAGCUUGCAGAAUUUAAUAGAAGAAAACUGUUUGAGUUAGACAAUUGCUCAUUAGAAGGUUUUGGUGCAAAGUCAUUUCCAUUUUUUUGUCAAAGUCAAAGCAAAGAAGUUAUGAAGAAGAAGAAAAGAAAAAGAAUUGAAGACACAGUGGCCAUAGCAUCAUAUAUGUCACAUCAUAACCUAUUCUCCUAUUUUUUGAUUUUGGCAGAGAAGUCAAUUAAUGUCAAUGAUGAGUUUGGGGUCAAUGAUGAAUUGUUAUCCCAUGAGUUCAGAGACGGUGACAAUUCCUUGGAACAAAUCCUCUUGAAGCUUGGAAUUUUACAGUCACAAAUUAGCAAAAUAAAGUCCCGGCUCCACAAGGUAAUGCUUGAAAAUGUUGGAAAGUUCAUUCCACUGACAAGUUGAGUUUGCUUGUAUCAUGUGAUGCAUUGACCAGCUCUGCUCAAAUUCCUGCCUCUCCUCACAACAAUGUGGAUAGAACACCAAUAUUUCUUCUUAUAUUUCAAGCUUCGAGUAAUGAUCCAUGUUCCUGAUAUAAUUGAAAGCACGGAUCAGCCUUGAGGUUGGAGGUUCAUCCAAAAAAGUAAAGUCUUUCUUCUAGACUGUUUUUAAUCCCGGCUCCACUUAUCUGGGUGUAGAAUUCCGGUGACAACCAUGAUCAUGACUUCUUUGGCGACUCGAUCUUAUGGCUCACGCCUGCUGUGAUUGAACAAACUAGACACCUGACUGCAUUUCCGGGGAUUUGCAGGCUCGUUGGUUCUCAUUCUUCUUUUGGUUAUGCUAAUGACACAGCAAGAAAAGAUUUUUGGUGCAAAAAACUAAUUCUAAUUUGUAUAUUGUGCUAGGUUGUUACAUUGCUACUGUCUUCUUUUGGUUUAGAAGUGUAUUACUAGAGCAAAAGGGCCCAAUGCCUUGUAAAAAAUGUUGGAUAAAUUUUAAUAAAAAAUAAAAUUUGAUUUAA